UGGGGAAUUUUGGACAAUGGGGGCAACCCUGAUCCAGCCAUUCCGCGUGAGUGAAGAAGGCCUUCGGGUUGUAAAGCUCUUUCGCGAGGGAAGAAAACUUACACAAUAACACUGUGUGAGGUUGACGGUACCUUGAUAAGAAGCACCGGCUAACUACGUGCCAGCAGCCGCGGUAAUACGUAGGGUGCGAGCGUUAAUCGGAAUUACUGGGCGUAAAGCGUGCGCAGGCGGUUUGGUAAGUCAGAUGUGAAAUCCCCGAGCUCAACUUGGGAACUGCGUUUGAAACUACCAGACUAGAAUAUGUCAGAGGGGGGUAGAAUUCCACGUGUAGCAGUGAAAUGCGUAGAGAUGUGGAGGAAUACCAAUGGCGAAGGCAGCCCCCUGG
rnacentral:rRNA from 1 species